UCCCUAUGGGGUGCAGCAGGCGAGAAAACUUUGCAAUGUGCGAAAGCACGACAAGGUUAAUCCGAGUGGUUUCUGCUAAAGGAACCUUUUGUCGGUCCUAGAAACACCGAUGAAUAAGGGGUGGGCAAGUUCUGGUGUCAGCCGCCGCGGUAAAACCAGCACCUCAAGUGGUCAGGAUGAUUAUUGGGCCUAAAGCAUCCGUAGCCGGCUUUGUUAGUUUUCGGUUAAAUCUGUACGCUCAACGUACAGGCUGCCGGGAAUACUGCAGAGCUAGGGAGUGGGAGGGGUAGACGGUACUCGGUAGGAAGGGGUAAAAUCCUUUGAUCUAUUGAUGACCACCUGUGGCGAAGGCGGUCUACCAGAACACGUCCGACGGUGAGGGAUGAAAGCUGGGGGAGCAAACCGGAUUAGAUACCCGGGUAGUCCCAGCUGUAAACUAUGCAAACUCAGUGAUGCAUUGGCUUGUGGCCAAUGCAGUGCUGCAGGGAAGCCGUUAAGUUUGCCGCCUGGGAAGUACGUACGCAAGUAUGAAACUUAAAGGAAUUGGCGGGGGAGCACCACAAGGGGUGAAGCCUGCGGUUCAAUUGGAUUCAACGCCGGAA
rnacentral:rRNA from 1 species